ensembl:snoRNA
UGCAGUGCAUGGUAUCUGCGCUCAGCAGCUCAUUCCUGCUGGUGUUCAAAGGACACUGUGACAGGAACCCAAUAUCUGGCAUCAUUGGUUUUCUUGGCUUUGUGCAGUUAGCUGUGGUAUUUCUAUUGAUAUGGUA